UGUAAAAUAAGCUAAGUAUAAGCUGUUGGGUUCAUACCCCAAAAAUGAGUGCAGACUCUUUUACAA
rnacentral:tRNA from 1 species